rnacentral:rRNA from 1 species
GAUGAACGCUGGCGGCGUGCCUAAUACAUGCAAGUCGAGCGAAUGGAUUAAGAGCUUGCUCUUAUGAAGUUAGCGGCGGACGGGUGAGUAACACGUGGGUAACCUGCCCAUAAGACUGGGAUAACUCCGGGAAACCGGGGCUAAUACCGGAUAACAUUUUGAACCGCAUGGUUCGAAAUUGAAAGGCGGCUUCGGCUGUCACUUAUGGAUGGACCCGCGUCGCAUUAGCUAGUUGGUGAGGUAACGGCUCACCAAGGCAACGAUGCGUAGCCGACCUGGGAGGGUGAUCGGCCACACUGGGACUGGGACACGGCCCAGACUCCUACGGGAGGCAGCAGUAGGGAAUCUUCCGCAAUGGACGAAAGUCUGACGGAGCAACGCCGCGUGAGUGAUGAAGGCUUUCGGGUCGUAAAACUCUGUUGUUAGGGAAGAACAAGUGCUAGUUGAAUAAGCUGGCACCUUGACGGUACCUAACCAGAAGGCCACGGCUAACUACGUGCCAGCCGCCGCCGUAA